AGAGUUUGAUCAUGGCUCAGAUUGAACGCUGGCGGCAGGCCUAACACAUGCAAGUCGAGCGGUAGCACAGAGAGCUUGCUCUCGGGUGACGAGCGGCGGACGGGUGAGUAAUGUCUGGGAAACUGCCUGAUGGAGGGGGAUAACUACUGGAAACGGUAGCUAAUACCGCAUAACGUCGCAAGACCAAAGUGGGGGACCUUCGGGCCUCAUGCCAUCAGAUGUGCCCAGAUGGGAUUAGCUAGUAGGUGGGGUAAUGGCUCACCUAGGCGACGAUCCCUAGCUGGUCUGAGAGGAUGACCAGCCACACUGGAACUGAGACACGGUCCAGACUCCUACGGGAGGCAGCAGUGGGGAAUAUUGCACAAUGGGCGCAAGCCUGAUGCAGCCAUGCCGCGUGUGUGAAGAAGGCCUUCGGGUUGUAAAGCACUUUCAGCGGGGAGGAAGGCGUUAAGGUUAAUAACCUUGGCGAUUGACGUUACCCGCAGAAGAAGCACCGGCUAACUCCGUGCCAGCAGCCGCGGUAAUACGGAGGGUGCAAGCGUUAAUCGGAAUUACUGGGCGUAAAGCGCACGCAGGCGGUCUGUCAAGUCGGAUGUGAAAUCCCCGGGCUCAACCUGGGAACUGCAUUCGAAACUGGCAGGCUAGAGUCUUGUAGAGGGGGGUAGAAUUCCAGGUGUAGCGGUGAAAUGCGUAGAGAUCUGGAGGAAUACCGGUGGCGAAGGCGGCCCCCUGGACAAAGACUGACGCUCAGGUGCGAAAGCGUGGGGAGCAAACAGGAUUAGAUACCCUGGUAGUCCACGCCGUAAACGAUGUCGAUUUGGAGGUUGUGCCCUUGAGGCGUGGCUUCCGGAGCUAACGCGUUAAAUCGACCGCCUGGGGAGUACGGCCGCAAGGUUAAAACUCAAAUGAAUUGACGGGGGCCCGCACAAGCGGUGGAGCAUGUGGUUUAAUUCGAUGCAACGCGAAGAACCUUACCUGGUCUUGACAUCCACAGAACUUUCCAGAGAUGGAUUGGUGCCUUCGGGAACUGUGAGACAGGUGCUGCAUGGCUGUCGUCAGCUCGUGUUGUGAAAUGUUGGGUUAAGUCCCGCAACGAGCGCAACCCUUAUCCUUUGUUGCCAGCGGUUAGGCCGGGAACUCAAAGGAGACUGCCAGUGAUAAACUGGAGGAAGGUGGGGAUGACGUCAAGUCAUCAUGGCCCUUACGACCAGGGCUACACACGUGCUACAAUGGCAUAUACAAAGAGAAGCGACCUCGCGAGAGCAAGCGGACCUCAUAAAGUAUGUCGUAGUCCGGAUUGGAGUCUGCAACUCGACUCCAUGAAGUCGGAAUCGCUAGUAAUCGUAGAUCAGAAUGCUACGGUG
rnacentral:rRNA from 1 species